rnacentral:sRNA from 1 species
UCUAGGCCAUCCAAGGCUACAUAUCAGCACUGUCAAGACAGCCAGCCAGCCAGCCAGCCAGCCAGCCAGCCAGCCAGCCAAGAAAUUCCAAACAAAACAGCCCCAAGCAAAAACCAAAACAAAACUAUAAGCAUUUGGAAUUUGGUAUUUAAGAUGCUCCAGCCAUGCUCCUGAUGGGAGAAGGAUAAUUACGGUCUUGAAAGCUUCAGUUUUUCCAAGAUCCAAACUACUUAGAGAACAGUUUCUGUUUUCAACCUCCAUCCAUUCUACUCUUGUUGAAGCCUCUGACGGGGACAUUUGGCACCUACAUUGCUGAACUGGAGGAAAGUGACCUGUCACAACAGCAUCCCUGUACAGACACCAGGUGCCCAGUUAAGUUGCCUAGAGACACCAGCAAACCCAAAGGUAAUGGUUCAUUAUGUCUCGGAAACCAUUUGCCAAAUUGGUUGUGGGUAAGAAGUAAAGAUUUUGAGCUCAGCGAGGACAUCAAACUGUUCUUUGUGGACCAGAAAAACACCAGGCAGAAUCGGGGUAUUUCAUAGCCUCCAGGACAAUGUUUGAUCCCUCAGACACUGUUGGCUCUUUUCCAGCUUCCUCUGGAGAGUAAACAGGGGCAGAAUAGGCUAUGGAGUCCAAAAGGCGGCUUCGAUUGCGCCAGCUCCCUGUUUGCGUAAGUAUCCAUCCAAGCAUGGACUGGAAGCCCUGGAGACCCGCUGGUGGAUCACACCACAGAAACAACCUUCAAAUUCUAACUGAUGCCCGAUGGACAUCAGCUAUCAACAAAUGUCAAAUGAAUCCAGACGACUGCCCUCGAUCUUUAGGUUCGACAGAACACUGACUGGCAGGGUCUGCAGGAUGCACAGUCUACACACAGGCCUCGUUAACAUCAACCACGGAAGAGGGAAGAUGGGGCAACAACUUCUAACUAAAGCUGUGCCUCUAUCUGUAGUUUCACUCAGGAUUAAAUAGAAUGAAGUUUGUCAGCUGAGUUAAAAUGACUGAACAAGUAUCUUAACAUUUUCAUGGAAAAAAAUCCCAAAAGGACACAAUCUACAAGAAAGAAAAACUAUCAGAAAUAGGUGGGUUGGAGAGAUGGUUAAGAAUUUUGACUGCUCUAUCAGAGGAACCCAGUUUGAUUCCCAACACCCACAGUCAUAAAAUAAAAAUAAAAUAAAUUCCCA